rnacentral:lncRNA from 10 species
AACAGAUUCUCCAGAGCACUGCUGGAUGCAGGGUAUGGACCCUGAAGAUAGGUGGAAUGACUGCUUUGAGUGCCAGUGGGUGAGGGACACAUAAGCUGAGAGAUCACUGUUCCCACCAUCCUUAGGUGCUAUAGACAGUAUGUGGCAUCAGGGUUGAGAUACAGAUAGGCAAGAGCUGAUGCAUGGGACCACACAUCUGGCUCAAACCCAAGUACCAGCAAUGGUCCUCAGUAGCUUGGAGCCCAGAACUUAUCUUUUCACUGGGGUAAGAGCCACCCAAGUUAGCCAUUCUGAUGGUCCCAUCUCACAUAAUCCCAUGAAAGAAAUACUGCAAGAGUCAGCAGGAGUGAUCCACUUGUCAGGCCACUGUCCUGGAACCUGCAUCUGAACCAUUCUCCUGGAGCCUAUUAGCAUGAGUUCUGAUGCUCUUCAGGAUCUUGUGCAGAGGAGAGGGUUGCAGAGCAUUUGGAAGAGAAGAAAUGGGGUUUAAGAUCAGGACAUCAUGCCCAGACAGCAUUGGUAGACCUGAUUGAGUUCAGGCAACUGAGGGUACUUAGAAAAUGCUGAGGAAGUCAUACAAAAAUACGAAGUCUCAAACAGGGGCCCUCCUUACCCAGAUCUCAGGGCAGUACUGCUGUCUGGAUUCAUAAUCACAAUUCCAGUUAUAAACUUUGUGAUCUUGAAAAAGUUAUUUAACUGAACCUCAGUUUCUUUAUAGAUAAAAUGGGGGUUAUGUCUUACAAAGUUGCAAAAAUUAUAUGAGCUAAUUUAUAAAGUGUCCAGCAUAGUAAUGCUUAGUAAGUUUAGCUAUUGCUAGCUACUCAUACCUCAGCCAGGGACGUGGGUGGGGUCUGCCUGAGUUGUUUGGGUCUAUAAACAACUUGUUGCAUUUGGGCAAAUUCUUCUAUAUAGAAAGUAUUAGGUUGGUGCAAAAGUAAUUGUGGUUUUUGCCAUUAAAAGUAAUGCCACUAAAAGUAACCUUAUACUAUUUGUUUCCGAUUAUAAAAAUGAUGUUUGUUUUAGGAAAC